AUCUUCCCGGACCAGGGCACGAACCCGUGUGCCCUGCAUCGGCAGGCAGACUCUCAACCACUGCGCCACCAGGGAAGCCCUGCUUUGAGUUUCGAUAGAGCUGCUAGGAGAUAUCAUAGAAGUUGACUAGCUAUGAAUAUUAAGCUGUGGUGGCUUGGGGGCCCUUGUAAGGAUGGACUUGGGUGCCUUCUUGGUACCAGGACCUGUGACACAAUUAUCUUCUGCUAAUUAUUAUUAAUCGUUUCCUCAUUUACUAUAUUGAUCAGUUAGGCUUGGUUUGCUGUGGUAACAAGCAACCCCCAAAUCUCGUUGGAUUCCAACAAAGGUUUAUUUCUGGCUUACAUGCUUCAUGUCCGUCUAGGACUCGGGUAAAUGUAGCAAGGAAGAGAGCACAGAGGCCUGAGCACUGGUAUUAGAAAGGUGACAUGUGUCGCUGCCACUCACAUUCCUCUGACCCAAGCAAAUCAUGUGCCGUGCCCAGCUUCAGGGGGGCAGGGCUUGAAUUCCACCCUGGGCCUGGAGGAAGGAGGCCUUGUGAACAGUCCCAAAGACCCAGACACUGAGAGUGUCUUUUUGUUUGACAGCUAGUCAGCUUCCUUUGCAUUUGUCCACUUAUGAAAUCCCAAACUAGAAGAGGUUUUAUAUAAAGCUAUAACUUUCAGAUGUGUUCACACUUCACAUCCAGUGAGCCUAUCUUGCAUCCAUAUCAUUUAGUAUUUUUAAGAAAUUGGGGGGAGAGUUUUUUUUAAUUUAAUACUUAUUUUAGUUUUUUGUCAUAAUAUUAAUUUUAGGGUGGGAGAAUGGCCGCAGAGCUGCAGAUCUUCUUUCCUUUAGUAUAUUUGUUGAAGUCAUUAGAGGUGAUGGCGCACGCCAACGUGGAGGAAAUACUCCCUCAAACCACUGAACGGCUGUGCUGCUUGACGCUGUGUUUAUGGACGAGCUUGGCUGUCCUGCUACUACAUUUCUAGGCAGCGAGUGCCAUGGCAGGAUAUUGAGCAAAAGGAAUUGUUGAAAUUAACUCAGUAAAUACGAUUGUAAGAAAAAAUACACUGGAAGAAAAAAGUCGGGAAGGGCCUUUAGGUUGGAGAGAGCUGUUUGCUUUGCUCAUUUCUCAUACGGCCUGGCAUUCCACGGUUUGGAAUGGGCGUGGGUAGGACUUGCAGCUACUAGCUCAGGCGGUGUGUAUCAAGGCCUCUGCCCAUGUCACUUCUCUUCCUGGUAAAGAACCCAGAUGGUCCCAAAUGCCAGAUGUUCCUGUGGCAAAACAGCAGAAUACUAGGGAGUGUUUCUCGCUGGGUCUGCAUUUGAGGUCUGGAGAGGCCUGGCAAGUUAGCACUGCAUGUUCUUUUCCCAUCAGCUCUGCAGCUAGCUUUGGCAUGUAACUUUGUGCAGGGGCUAACACAUCUUUGGGGAAGUCGACAAUGCCAGCCUGGAUGAUAUUACUUAAAAAAUUUCAAAACAUUCUGUCCUUUUUAUAGAAAUUUGCUUCACUGCUUCCUUUAGAGUGUAGGACACAUUUUACCGAUUAGAAUUACGAGAAAAAAAGCAUUCUUCAGUGCCACAUCCAGUACUCACUGCUUUUGAAGAAGGAGUGAUGUUUGACACAGAAAUGCAUCAGUGGGGAAGGGCACAUCUAACGUUUGUUGUUUGGGUUCAGCGCUGGAACCAAACCAGUUUUUCUUGUCUCCCCCUUUUUUUUUUCCUGUCUGAGUGGCAGAAAGCCCAGAAAUAUAAGUUUGCAUGCCAAGAGAUGGCUCUAAAUAUAGUGCUGGGUGGGCAGGAAGAUUGUUUCCUCAUGAAUGCAACUGGUGUGUGCUGAGUAUUCCUCACUACCCUCCAGUGGGAAGGGGCUGCUUUAGUUGCGCUGCUCUCCAGACGCGGGCUCUUCUUCUGACUGCAGAGGACAGAAACGUGAGCCUGAACAGGUUUGCUUUGCACUCGCAUCUCCAGCCAAGGGGUGUAGAUCAAACAAUCACUACCUAGCUGGCUUCUUUACUCUUCAGGAUUGAGACAAGUAAUUAAACACGUAACAAUGGCCAGCUUUUAGAGACUGGGGAGAAGGUAUUGUGGAUGCCUUGUUUAAACACAGAUUGUUUAUAAGAGGUAGAAAAAAUGUUGCUUUGCCUGUGUUUGCUUGGCAAUACAGGAGGGUGUUGCUGGCUACUGUCUACCAGCCACCUGUGAAACUUGACUAUUUUUCUCUUGUUCUCCAGGGUGGCUUUUUAUCCUUCCUACCUAUUUACUCUUGAUGCAGUUGAAAGGAAAUAGAGCUAGCAGGAUUAGUAGACCAGCUUGAAAGUGCCAACUUUAAAAGAUUGUUUUUCAGUUUUCCCCAAAAGCAGAGCAGGUCAGUACAAUAAAGAGCUUAGCUCAAAAACACCUCCCGAGCUCUUGCCCUCAGCAAUUAAAUAAAAUAUAAUUUAGAACCUCAGUUUAUAAAUCAGAUUGCCCGGAGGGAAUGGAGAAAACUGGUUUGAUAACUGUUUGGGUCCAGUUUCUUGUUAAAGGUUUACUUUAUCUCACAUUGCUUUUUUCAUUUUUCUCUUGGCAGUGGACAUAAAAUGACAGCUUUGCAGAUUAACGUGGACUUGGUUUUUAAAAUCAACGUUCAUAAAAUGACAGCUUGCAGAUUAACGUUGAUUUCGGUUUUGGUAAAAGCUUAUUAUGCCUAAGGAAAUACUGCAAAGUAGCAGGUACAUGUUAUAUAAUGCAAUCAUCUAUGUUGAAUGUAUUAGCAUUGAGCAGUUCAUCUCAGCAUGCUGUUGGUCCUAAACCAGUGUUUCUUAACCAGAAACAUGAACUCAAUAACAAAGAAGCAGUGGGAGGUUCCCAUCUCAGGAGAACCCUGGCUGACAAUGAGCUGUACCACUUGAAGGAGAGCGAAACUGUGAUCUGAUGCGGACCAACUCGGAGAGAGAGAGAAACCAGACGUGGCUUCUGAACAUACUUUCCUGCUAAAAGGCUGAAGAGAAGGAAAACAUUUUGCAGUGUAACUGAUCUGAUGAACUUCCCUAAGUUUGUUAGCACGUUAACCGUAUCCGCAGCUGGCCCCUUCCUUUGGACUACUUCCGUUUGUCCAUCUACACAGCAAACAGGACAAGGUCAGGAAGGAUGGGGAGAGAAGAUUGGAGCUUUGCUGCCUUCCUCUCCAGAGGAAAGGUUCGCUUCUGCAUCCCAGGGAGACAGGGUGUUCCAAUUAAACCGAAGUAUGGGACACCCACCCACCUGAGCCAUCUGGAUACCUGCCAUGUAAGAAAGGUUGACAGAAAGACUAAUGGUUUCCUGGAAUCUAGACUCCCAAAUACCCAAGAUUUGGAGAAAAUGACUUAUUAUGUAUGACCCAGAAACAUGAUUCCUAAUCCUUGGUGGGAUGAAAACAAUGCCCUACUAUAGAAACCCCAAAAUUAUACUCAUAGCCUGAGUGGAUCUCUGGGCUGAGCAUUCGUUAAAUAACCCAAAUUGGUAUCUGCUCUCAUCAUAAUUGCUCAUUAAAGUAGCAACAGAAAGAGGGAAAACGUUAACAUUUGUGGCUUUUCCUACAGUUCUAGCCUGAUCCCCAGGUUCUAUUCAGUCCUUCUGGUGUGAACCUGUCGUAUCUCGGCUCUUAGCCCUGGGUCUGGGCAUGAAGGGAUCAACCACUGUGAGUUUUGGUGUCUCCUGGUAGCCACUCAAGACAGUGUGGGAAACAGUGAGGAAAAGGAGUCACUUUCUUGUCAGGCAGGAAGUAUUUCCUGAGUACCUGUGUAUUAGGUGCUCAGGGGAGACAAAGUAUAUAAAACUAUGUCCCUGCUUUCAAAGUCUGAUUGAGAAAGUCAGACAUACAUCAGGGAAACAAUAUGCCACAAGAUAUAAGCAAGCAAGCCCCGUAUUGCCCUUUCUAACUAGUUCUUGGGAAUUUUGUAGAAUAUUAAAAAUAUGUUUGAAUGGUACUAAAAACAAGUUCUUAGUAGUGCAAAGGUUAAGGGGCUCCGUAAAAGAACGUAGACUCUGCAGUCAAACCAACCUCAUGUUAAAUGCCAGGUCUUACUAGCUUUGCACACCUUUAUGUGCACACCUAAUUUAAAAUAUGUCCACCCAAAUGUUCUCUACAAAGAAUCCCGAAUAAUUUAGGUAGAUACCCCUCCUCCAGGAGGUAGAUGUUAACUCCCCUCAUUUUGAGUAUGGGCUAGACGUAGUGAUUCACUUCCAAAGGAGAGAGCAUGGAAAAGCAAAAAUACUAAAUUUACAGUGGAGAAGCCUGGGAGAUACCAAAUGAUCAAAUGAUCAUUUAACCAAAUGAUCAAGGCUGACAUGAUGAGAGAGACGUCAUGUUGAUAUUAUCUCCCUCCUGAAGGGGUGUGAUGAGAAAAGCACUUUACCUCUGUGGUAAUCCCUCCAAAAAUGCAUAACCACAGUCUAAUCAUGAGAAAAUACAUCAGACAAACCUAAAUUGAGGGACAUUUUACAAAAUAAAUGACCAGUACCUCUUAAAACCAGUCAAGGUGUUGAAAAACUUGGAAAAAUUGAGAAACCAUCAUAGGUCAGAGGAAACAUGGCAACUAAAUGCAAUGUGGUAUCCUGGAUAGAUCUUGGAAGAGAAAAAAGACAUUCAUGAAAAAAGUCGGGAAAUCCAAAUAAAGUCUGGAGUUUAGUUAGUAGUAAUGUACUAAUGUUGGUUUCUUAACUUUGACAAACAUACCAGAGUACUGUGA